rnacentral:rRNA from 1 species
GACGAACGCUGGCGGUGUGCUUAACACAUGCAAGUCGAACGGUAAGGCCCUUUCGGGGGUACACGAGUGGCGAACGGGUGAGUAACACGUGAGUAACCUGCCCUCAUCUCUGGGAUAACAGUCGGAAACGGUUGCUAAUACUGGAUAUGAGCUUGCAAGGCAUCUUGUGGGUUGGAAAGAUUUUUUUGGGUUGGGGAUGGACUCGCGGCCUAUCAGCUUGUUGGUGAGGUAGUGGCUCACCAAGGCUUCGACGGGUAGCCGGCCUGAGAGGGCGACCGGCCACAUUGGGACUGAGAUACGGCCCAAACUCCUACGGGAGGCAGCAGUGGGGAAUAUUGCACAAUGGACGGAAGUCUGAUGCAGCAACGCCGCGUGCGGGAUGACGGCCUUCGGGUUGUAAACCGCUUUCAAUUGUGACGAAGCUUUUUUGUGACGGUAGCAGUAGAAGAAGCACCGGCUAACUACGUG